AAAAUUGAAAGAAAACAACCUGCACCAAACUGAAUGAUGAACACAAUAUUUCACGAGUAUGUAAAAAAAAAGGAAAGCAGAGGAUGACACCUUUUCUACAAA